AUUGAACGCUGGCGGCAGGCCUAACACAUGCAAGUCGAACGGAGUGGCGGACGGGUGAGUAAUGCCUAGAAAUCUCCCUGGUAUUGGGGGUUAACGUCCGGAAACGGGCGCUAAUACCGCAUAUUAUAAAAUAGGCCUAGGUCGGGUUAGUUAGUUGGGGGGGUAAAGGCCUACCAAGGCGACCAUCCGUAACUGGUGUGAGAGGAUGAUCAGUCACACUGGAACUGAGACACGGUCCAGACUACUACGGGAGGCAACAGUGGGGAAUAUUGGACAAUGGGCGAAAGCCUGAUCCAGCCAUGCCGCGUGUGUGAAGAAGGUCUUCGGAUUGUAAAGCACUUUAAGUUGGGAGGCGUUACCAACAGAAUAAGCACCGGCUAACUUCGUGCCAGCAGCCGCGGUAAUUC
rnacentral:rRNA from 1 species